GACCAUGUGUCACACGUGUCCGACCGACACAGAGUGCUCAAGUCAAAGGUUGACCCAAUUAACGAAGGUUAACCUAUGGUUAGGAAACGGCCUAAUCCAACCCUAAUCGCUAAACAACCCCCUAAUCCGGCCCAACAGCGAGGGCCCAUCAAGGUAAUAUAAAUAUCACGCAUUCCAAGGAACAAGGUACGUCAUUAUCUACAGUAUUCCAGCCAGCCGAAUACGAUACCCCACUGACUUGAGCGUUGGAGUGCCAUCUGCAGGUACCCCACCCGCCUGAGGAGUCAUCCAGCAAGGAGAGCCGAAGGAGGAAGUGAGAUACGACCGACCGAGCGACAUUCGAAGACAAUAGUUCUCCCAGUCCCCAACCUAGUUCGAGAACA
rnacentral:lncRNA from 1 species